UACGUAGGGUGCAAGCGUUACUCGGAAUUACUGGGCGUAAAGCGCGCGCAGGCGGCUAUCCAAGUCAGUGGUGAAAGCCCGGAGCUCAACUCCGGAACUGCCAUUGAAACUGUUUAGCUUGAGGAUGAGAGAGGUGAGUGGAAUUCCCAGUGUAGAGGUGAAAUUCGUAGAUAUUGGGAAGAACACCAGUGGCGAAGGCGGCUCACUGGCUCAUUACUGACGCUCAGGCGCGAUAGCGUGGGGAGCAAACAGG
rnacentral:rRNA from 1 species